AGCCCAGCCUGAAGGAAGAGAGAGCAGCUGCUGCCUGCUGGGGCUGCACUGGAAUGUGCAGCGUGCGCCUGUGCACUUGGGGGGCUGUGCAGGGGCUGUGGUGGCUGAGGCUGUGGGCACAGGACUUGGGGCUGUGGUCCCCCCUUGUCACCACGUCCCCAAGUGUUUUGGGAACGGCAGCGAGCGCAGCUGGUGUCUCGUCAGAGCCUGGCUCCAGCUGGGGCAGGGGCUGCUCGAGGUGUGUGGGGGAGGUGGGCAGCUUUGCUGCUGGGCUCAGCUAAAUGUGCGCCAUCUCCCCGGGAGCUGCGCUACGCCGGCUCUAUUUCGGGCACUUUGCGGAACAGCUGGUGAUCAUCUCUUACACGGUGUGGCGACGGCUGUGCGCAGCUAUUUCUGCCAGCUCAUCCCCACACAGCAGCUUUUUAUAAACGCAUUCACCCGGAGGGAUGGACGCAGCUGUUGGGGAGGGGGGAAUUUGGUGCUGAUGUUUUGGAGAUCGUCAGCUCUGCCCUGAGGGCUGCUCCUGUGCUGGCAGGACCCAGCUCUGAGCCUCUAUGGGAAGGGAAAACCCCGACCAGCUGCAGCUUGAGGGAUCUGCCUCAGGUUUAAUUUUAGAAACUCAGUUUCUCCUGAGCUCUCUGCUGAGAAGUCGUGGCAGCGCUUUCUGGAUGGUGUUUCACUCCUAAACCUGUGUGGGUCCUGCGGGGUAACGGUGUGUGGGGUGACACAAGCAGAACGCCAGCAUCCCUGGGGAUGGGGGACAGGCAUUGGGCAGGGGGCUGAUGGGUGGCAGCGGACAGGAGCAUGGCUUGGUCACCUUGCAUAGCUUGUCCCUGGUGCAGAGCCCUCUGGAGCACGGGCCGUCCCCACCCUGCACACAGUGCUGUCUGUCUGCCCGCAUUGUCCUGCUGUUGCUGUGAUCAGCCUUAGAGCACAGAGUGUGAGCCCACCCCUCAGCCUGGCUCCUCCGUCCCUUUCCCAGGCACUCCUGUGCUCCCCUCCUGCUCUGCCCCAUUGCUGUGUGUGACUGCGGUGAUGUUCCCUUUGGGCUCUGUGCUGCUGGAUGGAGCAGAGCCACAGAGGUUAAAUGCAGCUCUUGGUCAACUGCUGGUUUUGUUUUUUGUCUUAAAAUCAUACAAGCGGGGGCAUCACUGCAGUAUUUGUCACCAAACAUCGGGGUCAGUGCUGUGCAGCAGCUGAAGAUGAGCAGUGGCACUGGGGCAGCCCCGCACUGUGUGCCAGCACUGGGCUGUGCAGAACGAGCGUCAGUUGGAGAGCAGCAGGAGCUCUGCGGGAAUGCAACAAUGCAGCAACUUAUGCACUCAGCUGAGGCAGCGCAGCAGGAGUGGUUGUGUUAAAAUCUACAGGAUGAGCCUAGCGCUGAAAAUGCAUCCUGUGAGAUCCUUACCUUUUCCUUUGCUUGCCCACUUACCGAGGAUCAGCCCGGAGCUGAUGCCGGGGCAGGUGUGGGGUGUCAGCACUGCAUCCCUGCUGUGUUACACGCAGGGCGGUGUGCGCCCUCUGUGCGGCUGUGCCACGGCACGGCUCUGGGUGAGCAGAGGUGUGAGGUGGAGGAGGGAGAUGAUUGGAGUUUGCAUUACACAGCAUGCUUGUCGGAAGAGAAUUGAUCUGUAUUUAACAACAGCGGUGCAGUAAUAACCUACAAUUACCUCUGAGCGGUGCGGCGGGGGCGGCUCUGCUGCUGGAGGAGGCUGGCAUGGCAUGGAGUGGCAUGGCAUAGCAUGGCACGGCUCUCACGAUACACAGAGCAUGGCACAGGGUCUGCUGGGCUGUGGGAGCGAUUCCUGUCUGCCUGGAGCUGGGAAGCCCCAUGCCGUGGCCGUGCCCUCCCCGGGGCAGAGCAGAGGAUCGCUCCCCUGCUGUCCUGGCCACACGCUGUGCGAUGCACUGCAGGGUCUGUUUGGCCUUCUUGGCCACCAGGGUAUCCGAAUGUCUGCCCGUUGGCCACCGGCACCCCAGGCGCUUCUCUGCAGAGCUCUUUUCCAGCAGCUCAGCCCUAUACCUGUGCUCAGAGCCGUUCCCACGGCUGCUGUGCAGGGGAUGAGUGUGGUUAUCCAUCCCUCCUCCCUCUGCGCAGUGCUGGGAAAACGCUGCAACGCCUCUUUGGCGAGAAAGCAAAUUAUGCAGGCUGACUUUGUUCUGAAAGCUUCUGAUGUGUAAGCAGGGGAGGAAGGCGAGGUCAUCUGUGUGCUUCCACUGCUGGCUGUGCUCCAGCCGCGCGAGGGGAGGGAGGGUGCUUUUGUCUGCUCGGUGCGGGGUGCCCUGAGGCUGGGGUGGUGCACGGCCGCGGGCACGGCUCUGUUUGGGCAGGCAGCACCUUCUGCAGGAGGGGCUCUGCCGAUGCCUGACUUCACCUCUGCUCACCCCUUCUCCCUGGCUGAUGGCAGAAGGGAGCGCGGCGCACCAUCUCCAUCAGAGCCGGUGGGACAGGACGUGGUGCGGGACGGCGUGUGCCCCCCAGCCAGCCCCAGCACGGGGCACGUGGCUGCAGCUGCUAUUCUGCAGCUGUCUGAAGGGCUGCGGGACUUUUAAUAUCUCUGCUGAGUGAAAUUUCCUGAUUCGGCUUUCAUGUCCCCUGGGACGCUUAUGAAAUAUCCGGAUUCUGUUUUUUUUUCUGAAGAAGUGGAAUUUCCUAUUUAUGGAUUUAAUAAAAGGGCUACGUGCUCGCGGAGGGCAGGGGCUCCGCGGUGCUCUCCCCGCUGCGGCUUUGCCCCGUCGCUUCUCCCCCUGGCUCAGCUGGCAGCAGGGCUGUGGGGAAUUCGGCUGCCUCAGUAGUUUUCCAGCCCGCACUAAGCUCCCUUUUCACAGCUAAUCACGCUUCGCCAUGAGCGAAGUCGAAAUGCACGCCGCCAAUCCGCUGGCAGGCGGAUGGGCACAGAGUGGGUGAUCCUGCAGCGCUCGCCCGGCAGCCCUCGAGCAGCAGCGCUCACCCACCCGCUGGGAGCUCUGCCGAUGGAUGCCAGCAGUGCGCUGGGUCUGGUCCUGUCUGGAACCUCAUCUGCCCUCGGCGUGCCUUUGUGCAGAGUGUUUGGAUCGUGAGAGAGGGCUAAGGGACGAGAGCAGUGGGAAAUGGCUCCAGGAGGGUAGGAGAGGCUGGAGCUGUGUAGUGGGAUCCCCGGUGGCUCGGAGCAGCAGGGUGUGAGACGAGUGGCUGAGCGUUCAGUCCCAUCUGAUGCGAGGCUGGUGCACAGAACCAGGAGCUACGGACAGGACUGGCCCUGAUGGCACAGAACCAGGCUGCGGUGCCGCUGGCUGCAGGCAGGAAUGGGUUCCAACCCUGGGUGCUGGGAAGGAGCUGCAGCACCCAGCGCAGCGUGCUAGCAUAGCCCUGCCUUGCAGCAGGUCUGCGUGGUGCUGGAGCCCCUCUGGCCCCAGGGAGGGCUGAAUGCUACUGGCUGCUGUGUCACAGCCCGCUCCUUUCGCCAGCCACCCCAGCGUGGCUGUGGGCACUGAGCAAGCAGCCCUGGUUGCCAAACGCUUUGCUUUCCUAGCCAGCUGGUUUUGUCCUCAUGACUCAUGGCAAUAUUUGCCUUUCUGUUACCAGCAUUUCUUUCAUCAGCUGCAGCCAGAGCCGUGCUGCCACCACUCUCCUUUAAAAUCAUGGGAACAGUUGAAAUAAAAUACUUUUAAUGCAAACAAUGUCAAACACAAACACAGGCGUUCCACACUUAUGCAACUCUUACUUUUGUAAUGCUCUUUAUCGUGAUCCCAAAGAACCUCAACAGCAAGUGAACAUCACCAAAGCACAAGCGAGCUGCAACCUGCUAAAUCAGCACUGCCUGCUUCUUCUCAUGAAAAGUCAUUUAGCAAAUGCCUAAAAAAACCCCCAUGUUCUCCUGCAGGACACCUGUCGCAGAAGCAGAAAGAGGAAAAGCCCGGAGCGAUGUAACCUGCUGUGUUCUGUGAAACCCAGCAUCUCCAGCUGCAGAGUGGGCUGUGCUGCGGGUCCUGCCUGCAGCCGACCUCUGCAGAGCGCUGCACGUCCAGGCACAGCCGGGUGCUCGCACCACCCGCACACCCUUAUCAGUUCUCCGUCCAACAGUCAGAGCGAAGAAGCUGGGCUGGAAAAGUGAUAAGGGGGUGAGAGCAGCCACAAGGUCGCCUUCUCCUGGACUCUGGCACGGAGAAAAAAGGCGAAGCUGGUAGCAAGUGGAGUAAGUAAGGUGUCACCGGUUCCUCUCUGCGGCCCUCGGCACGGUGCGGGGAUGCUGCUGGAGGAGCGGGCGAUGCUGUUGGGGCAGUCCCAGCCUCCCGCUGCCCUGCAGUGCUCUGCCGUGCUGCAGACACUCCCCAUUCACAAAUUUCAUAACCUCCAGUCCCCUCCCUGCGGGUGGGAUUGGACGCCCCGUGGCCCCCCCGGCCCGCUGGAUUAGGCUGUACAAAUUGUGGGGCUGCAGCCGGGCGGAUUCGUCUGACGCUGCAGAAAGGUGCUGGCAGCUGCAUCUGUGCGCCCCAAUGCCGCCGGCCCCGAAGUGGGGCUGGGGUGUCCCCUCCUGCAAAGAGCGAGGGGUUGUGGUGGUGCCCAGGGGAUGUCCUUCCCUGAGCCAUUACUCCAUUGUCUGCACUGAGUCCUGCUCCGUGGGGCCGGGCCCCAUGGCAGCUCCCCUCGUAUCCCUGUGCCCGCUGCCCCCAGAGAGUGGCUCAAGUGUACCCAGGCACCCCCAGAGUGCAAGCAGACCCCUGUGACCUGGGCUGGGAAGGUGCACACUAGAGGGGGGAAGCGGGUGGCUCCCAACACCUCGUAUAACCCCGCUGAGCAGAGCCUGGAGCCGAGGAAUGUGAUCCCCCUUCUGCAGCCCGGGCGUGUGCUGGCUUGGUGCUGCACUGUCGGGUUGAUGUGCACAGGAAUUACAGAGGAGCUCUCCUGCGUGCACCUAUAGGGAGUGCUCGGCUGAUGCUGAAGGCCCUCUCACAGCAGCCAAGUGAACCCCAACAGUUUCUCAGGGCUCCGGGGCUCAGUUCCAUAACGGUGCUCUCUGCUCAAGGACUCAGUGCUUCAGGAAUGGCCUCUGCUCUGCAGGGUGCAGAGCUGUGUGCCCAGAUGUGGUUCUGCUGUCAUCUCCAGUUUUAACCUGGGGGAGGGGUAGAGGUUGGUUAGCAGUGCUGGGUGUGCAUUUGCUAUCGGGCACUUCUCCCCAUCAUCAUGAAGCACCACGGCCUCUGCUCGUGCUGCUGGAUGCGCUUUCUGGCUGCUUGUCCCCUCUGUUGGCCCAGUGCAAAUCUGCUGCCCUUGGCUCCACAGGUGUCACUGGACCCACUGCAUUACUGGGGGGAGUAGGAGAUGGCACUUCAGGUGCAAACAGCCUACUUUCCAAGGUUCACAACUUUUGUCCAGUUCCUCUGUUGGAGUGCACUGAGCUGUGUGGGCUCUGAUGAGCUCUUGCGGCACAGCUGCCUGCAGCCCCACGCGCUUCAGGACAGCACACUUGGGUCAGCCAUGUCUUUCCUCCUCGUGUCUUCACCCAGGCUUGUUCCCACCCGGCUGCAGGUCAGGUACCAGCCCUGACAAACUGCACCAGCCCUGAGGCAGUCAGUGCUGCGCCUUGCGGCUUCCCAUUCUCCGCACUUUGCAGGAUGGCAUCGAGGGCAGCCAGACCUGCUGUGCUGUGCCAUGCCAUGCCGUGCUGUUCCAUGCCGUGCCACACCGUGCUCCGUCCUUCCCCAGCUCCCUCCCAGGAAUGCCAUCUGCUGAGCGCCCGGUGCCACGUUAAGCCCUGUUCCAUCUGCAGCUUUGCCCCAGGCUGCCGGUGUCCGUCGCAGCAGCGCCCGCCUCAGUAAGCACAGCACAUCCCGCUGACUCAGGAGCCUGCACGGCUUUAUAACCUCCCUCUGCAUUUGGAGCGUGGGUCAGGAAUGUUCCACGGAGCGGAGAUGCCGAGGGGCCGUCAGGGCGCGGUGCUGCGCGGCGGUGCUGGGGCAGCCCCAGGGACCUUGGCUGGUGCUGCCGUCCGGCGCCGUGC